rnacentral:rRNA from 1 species
GACGAACGCUGGCGGCAUGCCUAACACAUGCAAGUCGAACGAGAACUUCGGGUCUAGUGGCGCACGGGUGCGUACGGCGGGGGAACCUGCACUUAGGUUCGGAAUAACUCCCCGAAGGGGGUGCUAAUACCGGAUAAUGUCUUCGGACCAAAGAUUUAUCGCCUUGGGAUGGGCCCGCGUUGGAUUAGCUAGUUGGUAGGGUAAAAGCCUACCAAGGCGACGAUCCAUAGCUGGUCGGAGAGGAGGAUCAGCCACACUGGGACUGAGACACGGCCCAGACUCCGACGGGAGGCAGCAGUGGGGAAUAUUGGACGAUGGGCGAAAGCCUGAUACAGCAAUGCCGGGGGAGUGAUGAAGGGCGUAGGGUUGUAAAGCCCUUUUAGCCGGGACGAUAAUGACAGUACCGGGAGAAUAAGCUCCGGCUAACUCCGUG